UACGGAGGGUGCAAGCGUUAUCCGGAUUUACUGGGUUUAAAGGGUGCGUAGGUGGGUUGGUAAGUCAGUGGUGAAAUACUUUCGCUUAACGAAGGAACUGCCAUUGAUACUACCAGUCUUGAAUACAGUGGAGGUAGGCGGAAUGCGUCAUGUAGCGGUGAAAUGCUUAGAUAUGACAUAGAACACCAAUUGCGAAGGCAGCUUACUACGGAUAUAUUGACACUGAGGCACGAAAGCGUGGGGAUCAAACAGG
rnacentral:rRNA from 1 species